rnacentral:tRNA from 1 species
UCUCUGGUGGUCCAGUGAUUAGGACUCAGUACUUUCACUGCUAUGGCCCGGGUCCAAUUUCUGGUCAGGGAA